GCCAGCUGGAGUCACACUGGCUGCCAGCCACGCUCCAUGCUGCUGAACUACUGUGGCUGCAGCCCCCGGAGGCUCUCAGGACCCCAGAUUUUUAUCCACCCUGUUCUUAUGUGACAGUGCCUUGUAAGCUGUGAGUUGGUAUACCAUCUUUAAGAGAAAUGGUGCAUCGGAUUCCCUUCAACCCAUUUUCCAUGAGCAGCCAAGUCUGGCAUUGCAACUCACCACUACAAAAAUCCUUCAGAUCCAGGGUACAGAAGCAAACCACUGCUCCUAAGUGAAAUUUUGCAGUUUGAAGCUGGACAUAUGCCCCAAAACCUGUUUAGAAGACGAUGGAGCAAUUUCCACUAACAUUCAGUUUGUUUCUGUAUUUCUGUGCUUCUUUCCUGUGUUUAUAUUUUCCGUUAUCAGUUUAAGAUGUGAGACCUGAAGAAAGGUCCUUUGUGCCUGAAGCGUUGCCAAACAUCUCUCCCAACUAUACAAUAAAAAA